UACGAAGGGGAGCUAGCGUUGUUCGGAUUUACUGGGCGUAAAGGGCGCGUAGGCGGCCAUGCGUGUCUUCCGUGAAAUCCCUCGGCUCAACCGAGGACGUGCGGAAGAAACUGCAAGGCUCGAGUCCGGAAGAGGGGGGCGGAAUUCCCAGUGUAGCGGUGAAAUGCGUAGAUAUUGGGAGGAACACCAGUGGCGAAGGCGGUCCCCUGGGCCGGAACUGACGCUGAGGCGCGAAAGCGUGGGUAGCAAACGGG
rnacentral:rRNA from 1 species